AAGUUUUGGUCCUAAACUUGCCAUCGUUUAUAAUCAAAAUUAUACAUGCAAGCCUCCGCACACCAGUGAGAAUGCCCACACACCCCAAACAGUCAACUGGAGCAGGCAUCAGGAUACAACACACACCUUAGCCCAAGACGCCUUGCACAUGCCACACCCACACGGGCCCUCAGCAGUAAUUAACAUUAAGACAUAAGCGAAAGCUCGACUUAGUUAUGAUUAAGACGGCCGGUAAAUUUCGUGCCAGCCACCGCGGUUAUACGAAAGACCAAAAACAAUGGCCAGCGGCGUAAAGCGUGACUAGAGACACAAAAACAACUUAAAGGAGAACAGCUACCAAGUUGUAAAAAACCAACGUAUGCUAGAACAACAACAAUAAAAUGCCUUUAAAACCACUUCACCUCACGAAAGCCAAGAAACAAACUGGGAUUAGAUACCCCACUAUGCUUGGCCCUAAACAUAGACAGUAUGCACACAAUACUAUUCGCCAGAGAACUACAAGCGAAAAGCUAAAAACUCCAAGGACUUGGCGGUGCUUCAAAUCUACCUAGAGGAGCCUGUCCUAUAAUCGAUACCCCACGUUUCACCCAACCACUCCUAGCCAAUCAGCCUAUAUACCGCCGUCGUCAGCCUACCCUAUGAAAGAAAUAAAGUGGGCAAAAAAGUUACUAACUAACACGCCAGGUCAAGGUGUAGCACACGGAGCGGAAGAGAUGGGCUACAUUUUCUCAAAGAAAAAACACGAACAGUAAGCUGAAACACUUACUUAAAGGCGGAUUUAGCAGUAAAACAAGUAAGAAUACUUAUUUUAAACCCGCUCUGAAGCGCGCACACACCGCCCGUCACCCUCAUCA
rnacentral:ncRNA from 1 species